GGGGAAAGGAGGAGGCGGCGGUGGCCAGCCCUGCCCUGAGCGAUCGUUAUUCCAUCUCCUUCGCUCAACCCUGCUGCAGUACCAUACUGUAUUGAUUACUGAAGCUUAUGGAGAGUCUUAAAAUUGGGUGGUCACACAUUUUGAAAACAGACGACCAACGGGGAUCGGGGAAUAUUCCAAAACAAGUAUGCAAUCUUCAACGGCAACGGCGAGGCACUGUCGCCUGGAGGCAGCAGGAUCGACUGGAUGGAUGACCUUUUGAGGUCCUCUCUAGCAUGCAGCCCCUCUGAACUCCAAGGCACAGGGACCAGGGAGCAGGGACCCCGUGAGAAGGAAAUGCUGUUCGCACC